ACACGUAGGGGGCAAGCGUUGUCCGGAAUUACUGGGCGUAAAGGGCGUGUAGGCGGCCGAGCAAGUCAAGUGUGAAAAGCCUCGGCUUAACCGAGGCAUUGCACAUGAAACUGCUUGGCUUGAGUGCAGGAGAGGGAAGUGGAAUUCCUAGUGUAGCGGUGAAAUGCGUAGAUAUUAGGAGGAACACCAGUGGCGAAGGCGACUUCCUGGGCUGUAACUGACGCUGAGGCGCGAAAGCGUGGGUAGCAAACAGGAUUAGAUACCCUGGUAGUCCACGCCGUAAACGAUGGGUACGAGGUGUGGGUAGUUCACACUAUCCGUGCCGCAGCAAACGCAAUAAGUACCCCGCCUGGGGAGUACGGCCGCAAGGUUGAA
rnacentral:rRNA from 1 species